ensembl:lncRNA
CGUAGGUGUCGUUACCGUAAACCAAUCGCAUUGGGGCAGGCAACGUUAAAAAAACUGUUCUCCUCUCUUUUGCUGUCAGUUGUCAUUUCAGCACGCUCCAAAGGUGAGGAUUAUUUUUCGCCUGGAUUAGCAGCGAUCGUGACGGCAAAGGAAUGUCCGAUUCGGACAGCGAUUUAUUUUGGAGACGCGAGUCUCAACAACCGGAGCCGGCCAGCAGCCCACCGAGCGGCCGGCGCAGGAGCACUCAUCUCACAAGGCACAGCGGCUCCACUACGAACGAGCGAGAACAAAUUCUCACUCAACUGCACAACCGCGGCGUGGCUCCCGCACCGGGGCUCCCUCUCUCACAGCUGCGGGACUUGGUGAAACACACAGCCUCCCCGCCUCCCGCGCCAGGACGGAAGCGGACCAAUACAGCCGCCGCAGGCGAGGCGGAGAAAAACGGCUACCUGGUCCAAUUCUCCACCAGCGACGGCAGGCACGUCGGGCCCAGACGCCGUGGUAAUCGCAACGCUACAAACAUUGGUCAACACGAUGGGCACCAUAGAGGCGCGCCUGCAGCACCUAGGGGACAGGCACCCCACUCCAUCCACCUCAUUCGGCGCAGACAUCGGCAUCGGCACAAGGGGAAGCGGCGCAGCCUUCUUUGGGAUCAGCGGUACCUGAUCGCCCACAGGGUAGGACAUACAUUUCUCAGGCAUCGAAUGUGUCAACACGCCUGCGGGCAAAAAUACAUCAAGGGGAAGACAUCAAUCUGGUCUCCAUCAUCCUUCCAUCCCCAGAGUGUGAUGUUAGCAUAGCAUCAAGCGUUAAUAUUUCUCCAGUGUUCAAAACCGCAGACCCACGACUGAACAGAGAGUUAUCGAUAGGGCAAUUUUUUGUUGCGUUUGGAGUAUAUCGAGACGUUAUUUGCACGCCGCACAACCACCGCUGCGGCAACAGGUGAGCCGAGGGCACGAGGGCCCAAAUUUAGAUCAUAUUCCGGUAUGCCUCAGUUUUAAUGAGAGUGUCUGUUCAUACAAAAACUGCCGUUAUGUCCACAUUUGCAGCCUGUGCAAGGAGGCGCAUCCAAGGUCUGUAUGCUCUCGGCACUCGGGCAGGAUCCCACGGGGGGGGCCACCAUCCAUCCAUCCAUCCCUCCAUCUUCAACCGCUUAUCCGGGGUCGGGUCGCGGGGGCAACAGCUCCAGCAGUGGACCCCAAACUUCCCUUUCCCGGGCCACAUCUACCAGCUCUGACUGGGGGAUCCCAAGGCGUUCCCAGGCCAGUGCAGAGAUAUAAUCUCUCCACCUAGUCCUGGGUCUUCCCCGGGGCCUCUUCCCAGCUGGCCGUGCCUGAAACACCUCCCUAGGGAGGCGCCCAGGGGGCAUCCUCACCAGAUGCCCAAACCACUUCAACUGGCUCCUUUCGACGCAAAGGAGCAGCGGCUCUACUCCGAGCUCCUCGCAAAUGGCUGAGCUUCUCACCCUAUCCCUAAGGGAGACGCCAGCCACUCUCCUGAGGAAACCCAUUUCGGCCGCUUGUACCCGUGACCUAGUUCUUUCGGUCAUGACCCAUCCUUCAUGACCUUAGGUGAGGGUAGGAACGAAGAUUGACCGGUAGAUCGAGAGCUUUGCCUUCCGGCUCAGCUCUCUUUUCGUCACAACGGUGCGGUAAAGCGAGUGCAAUACCGCCCCCGCUGCUCCGAUUCUCCGGCCAAACUCACACUCCAUCUUCCUCUCACUCGUGAACAAGACCCCGAGGUACUUGAACUCCUUCACUUGGGGUAAGGACACAUUCCCUACCUGGAGUAGGCAAUCCAUCGGUUUCCUAAUGAGAACCAUGGCCUCAGAUUUAGAGGUGCUAAUCCUCAUCCCGACCGCUUCACACUCGACUGCGAAACGCUCCAGUGAGAGUUGGAGGUCACACACGGAAGAUGCCAUCAGGACCACAUCAUCUGCAAAAAGCAGCGAUGUGAUCCACAGCCCCCCGAACUGUAGACCCUCCUCCCCCCGACUACGCCUCGAUAUCCUGUCCAUGAAAACCACAAACAAGAUUAGUGACAAGACGCAGCCCUGGCGAAGGCCAACCCCCACCGGAAACGCCUUCGACUUACUGCCGAGCACCCGAACACAGCUCUCGCUUUGGGCGUACAAGGAUUGGAUGGCCCCAAGCAAGGACCCCCUCACCCCGUACUCCCGCAGCACCUCCCACAAGUUUUCCCCCCACCACCCGAAGGCGUAGGGAGGCGACCCUUUUGUCCACCGGGGUAAACUCCAAUGUAGCAGCACUCAGCCGGGGACUUAUGAGUAUCCCCACACCCGCCUGGCACCUCACACCAUGGGCCACUCCGGAGUAGAAUAGAGUCCACCCCCUAUCCACGAGUGUGAUUCCAGAGCCAAGGCUGUGCGUAGAGGUAAGCCCCACCAGAUCCAACUGAUAACGCUCCACCUCCCGCACAAGCUUUGGCUCCUUCCCCCCCAGAGAGGUUACGUUUCACGUCCCCAGAGCCAGCGUCUGCCGCCCAGGUCUGUUCCGUCUAGACCCCCCACUGUCACUGCCACCCUUGUAGCAGCGCACCCGACCCCAUCGGUUUCCUCCACAGGUGGUGAGCCCAUGGGGAGUAGAGUGCUGGGCUGCCGCGUCACUCCUUCGGGCUGUGCCCGGCCGGGCUCCGCGGUAAACCCGGCCACCAGACGCUCGCUGUCGGGCCCUCCAUCUGGGCCUGGCUCCAAAUGGGGGCCCCGGGCUUCCUCCGGGCCGGGUAACUCCUUC